rnacentral:rRNA from 1 species
GAUGAACGCUGGCGGCGUGCCUAAUACAUGCAAGUCGGAGCGGUAUCAGUCCGUUCGGGGGUGAAGAGAGUGGCGAACUGGUGAGUAACACGUAGGUUACUCUACCCUCAAGACGGGGGACAACCCAGGGAAACUUGGGCUAAUCCGGAUGUGAGUCAACUUUUAGUUGUUUGAAAGGUGGCGUAAGCUGUCGCUUGGGGGAUGAGCCUGCGUCCUAGUUAGUUAGUUGGUGAGGUAACGGCUCACCUAGGCAAUGAUAGGUAGGCGGCCUUAACGGGUGGUCGCCCACACUGGGAUUGAGAUACGGCCCAGACUCCUACGGGAGGCAGCAGUCGAGAAUAGUCUACAAUGGUCGGAAGACUGAUAGUGCGACGCCGCGUGAACGAUGAAUCCCUUCGGGGUGUAAAGUUCUUUUAUAUGUGAGCAGUGCUUCUUAUAUUAACAGUAUGGGGAGAGAGAUAUUAGCAUAUGAAUAAGCAACGGCUAACUCCGUG